CCCACUUCCGUUCCUUUAUGGCAAAGGUAUCUCUUCCCAGACCCAGCGCAAGAAUAGAGGGUCAGGCGUCCUACAGCGAGGACAUGAAGGGAGCCGCUCGAAACAUAGUGAUCACGACCCUUCAGUCUCCAAGACACACGUGUGAACUGUCCACUUGGCAGGGGAUGUAUCUGUCCCGGGAGAUACCAGGCUCAGAGGCAGGAGACAGGGGUUCUGAGCCCACCAUUAACCAGUUUGAGUUCAACCCUUAGAGUGGCGUGGGGAAGCUGACUCUACAGACUUGGAAAAUGGAGGGAGUGUGGAAAGAUGACUGGAAGGACCGUGGUGGUGGAAAGAACUGGAGGAGUGCUUGCUUGCCAGACUGUGGAUUGGUUCUACCUAGCGCUGUAAACUGUUGGAGUAAGCCCCCAAAGUCCUGUUUCCAUAGAGUCAGUAUUUGUAGUCCAGAAACCCUCCAUCUGCAUGUAAUGCAAUUACAAAGAUACUGAUUUAGUCACUGCAGUGUGUGCAGCACGAAUUAUCCCAUGCAUUACUGGUGGGACUAUAAAGUGAUGCAGCCAAUUUGGAAAAGAGCUUGCUGUUCAUCAAAUGAUUAAAUAGAGUUACCAAGGACCCAGCAAUUCCAUUCCUAGGUAUAUACCCAAGAGUAAUAAAACCGUAUGUUCCAUGCAAAAUCUUGUGCAAAAUGUUCAUGGCAGCAUUUUUUUAUUAUUGCAGAAAAAAAGGAAACAAUCUAAUGUCUGUCAAUGAAUGAAUAAAUGUGGUAUGUCCAAACAACGAAAUAGUUAGGCCAUAAAAAGGAAUGAAGUACUUUCACAUGAAUGAAGCUUGAAAUGAUGCUAAGAAGCAUAAUUGUAUAACUAUAUGAUUCCAUUAAAAGGAAAUGUCCAGUCUAAGCAAAUAUAGAAAAACAAAAAGCAGAUUUGUGAUUCCCUAGGAAUGGAGGUGAAGUUGAGAGAAAUGAAGAGUGACUACUGACAGACAGAGGUUCCUUUUGGAGGUAAUGAAAAUGUUCUAAAUUGUUCUAAAAUGUUCUAAAUUGUUCUAAAAUGUUCUAAAUUGUGGUGAUUGUUGCAUAACUGUGAAUAUACCAAAAACCACUGAA